UACGUAGGGUGCAAGCGUUAAUCGGAAUUACUGGGCGUAAAGCGUGCGCAGGCGGUUUUGUAAGUCUGUCGUGAAAUCCCCGGGCUCAACCUGGGAAUUGCGAUGGAGACUGCAAGGCUAGAAUCUGGCAGAGGGGGGUAGAAUUCCACGUGUGAGCAGUGAAAUGCGUAGAGAUGUGGAGGAACACCGAUGGCGAAGGCAGCCCCCUGGGUCAAGAUUGACGCUCAUGCACGAAAGCGUGGGGAGCAACAGG
rnacentral:rRNA from 1 species